rnacentral:rRNA from 1 species
UACAGAGGGGCAAGCGUUGUUCGGAAUUACUGGGCGUAAAGGGCGCGUAGGCGGCCUUCUAAGUCGAACGUGAAAUCCCCGGGCUCAACCCGGGAAACUGCGUCCGAUACUGGAAGGCUUGAAUCCGGGAGAGGGAUGCGGAAUUUCAGGUGUAGCGGUGAAAUGCGUGAGAGUAUCUGGAGGAACACCGGUGGCGAAGGCGGCAUCCUCGGACCGAGUACUGACGCUGAGGAGCGAAAGCCGG